GAGAGGUUAGCAUGUUUUGUUGUAGUCUCUGUUAUUGGUAAUGGUGAGAGGUUAGCAUGUUUUGUUGUAGUCUCUGUUAUUGGUAAUGGUGAGAGGUUAGCAUGUUUUGUUGUAGCCUCUGUUAUUGGUAAUGGUGAGAGGUUAGCAUGUUUUGUUGUAGUCUCUGUUAUUGGUAAUGGUGAGAGGUUAGUAUGUUUUGUUGUAGCCUCUGUUAUUGGUAAUGGUGAGAGGUUAGCAUGUUUUGUUGUAGUCUCUGUUAUUGGUAAUGGUGAGAGGUUAGCAUGUUUUGUUGUAGUCUCUGUUAUUGGUAAUGGUGAGAGGUUAGUAUGUUUUGUUGUAGUCUCUGUUAUUGGUAAUGGUGAGAGGUUAGUAUGUUUUGUUGUAGUCUCUGUUAUUGGUAAUGGUGAGAGGUUAGCAUGUUUUGUUGUAUCCUCUGUUAUUGGUAAUGGUGAGAGGUUAGCAUGUUUUGUUGUAGUCUCUGUUAUUGGUAAUGGUGAGAGGUUAGCAUGUUUUGUUGUAGACUCUGUUAUUUAUUAUCUAGAUCUUUUUUAAUCAUGGCAUCCUCAAAUCAAAUCAAAUCAAAUUUUAUUUG
ensembl:lncRNA